CUGAUUUUGAAAUUCAAUUCCAACUUGAAUCAACAUUUCUUUUUUGUUUUUAAAAAAAUAUUGAGACCAGAAAAAUUAAAUAAAAUAAGAAAUUAAUAAUUAUAGAGAAAAAAAUGGGGUAAUGAUAUAUUAUUGAUAAUGAACCUAUCCUUGUAUCAAUAUAAUUUAAUUACAUAAUGUCAUGAUAUCAUCUUGGCAGCCUAGUUUUCCUUGUGUUUCCUAUGUUUCCCUGCCCUUUUGUCUCCUGUGAGUUUUUCCCUGUUUGUCUAGUAUGUCAGUGUGUUGGGAGGUGUGGCCUUCCUCCUCCCCCUCCUCCUGGGCAGGCACUGCUGAAGCAGCUGACAGCAAUCAACCAAUCAUCACACACACCUGCAGUAUAUCAACCCCGGUCUUCCUGCCAGUCAUCGCCAGAUCGUUCCGUCGCCCUCAGUGGUCUGUUCACCUGCCAGGAUCCUGACCUUUGUUACUUUACUGCCUGUUCACUCUCCGACGCCAUUCCACCACUCGGAGCUCAAGUGGAUUCAUCUGUUCCUCUGGAAGGAUUCCUGGACACCCACUCCCCGUGCCCCCCGUUCCGUGAAUUAAGUACUGACUUUAUUACUGCCACGUUUCGGACCUCCAGGAACCCCAGCCCUGUUCACUGUUCAUUUAAUAUUUGUGUAAUAAAUUAUAUUUGUUACACCUUUAAAA